CCCAACUAUCCCUAUUAAUCAUUACGUCGAUCCUAGAAACCAACAAAAUAGAAUCAAACGUCCUAUUUCAUUAUUCCAUGCUAAUGUAUUCAAGCGUAUGCCUGCUUUAAACACUCUAAUUUUUUCAAAGUAACAGUCCUGAUUCCCCACAACACCAAAUUAAUGGCAUCGUGGUUCUUCAGAAGGGAGGAACCGGUAGGGCCAGUACGUACCGGAGGCACGACCAACCCACCGUUUCCGAAGUUCAACUACGAGCUUUUUAACUGCAACAACUUUAAUAUACGCUAUUGGAGCUGGAAUUACCGCGGCUGCUGGCACCAGACUUGCCCUCCAA
rnacentral:misc_RNA from 1 species